GGAAACUGCCUGAUGGAGGGGGAUAACUACUGGAAACGGUAGCUAAUACCGCAUAACGUCUACGGACCAAAGUGGGGGACCUUCGGGCCUCACGCCAUCAGAUGUGCCCAGAUGGGAUUAGCUAGUAGGUGGGGUAAUGGCUCACCUAGGCGACGAUCCCUAGCUGGUCUGAGAGGAUGACCAGCCACACUGGAACUGAGACACGGUCCAGACUCCUACGGGAGGCAGCAGUGGGGAAUAUUGCACAAUGGGCGCAAGCCUGAUGCAGCCAUGCCGCGUGUGUGAAGAAGGCCUUAGGGUUGUAAAGCACUUUCAGCGAGGAGGAAGGGUUCAGUGUUAAUAGCACUGUUCAUUGACGUUACUCGGCUUCCGGAGCUAACGCGUUAAAUCGACCGCCUGGGGAGUACGGCCGCAAGGUUAAAACUCAAAUGAAUUGACGGGGGCCCGCACAAGCGGUGGAGCAUGUGGUUUAAUUCGAUGCAACGCGAAGAACCUUACCUACUCUUGACAUCCAGAGAAUUCGCUAGAGAUAGCUUAGUGCCUUCGGGAACUCUGAGACAGGUGCUGCAUGGCUGUCGUCAGCUCGUGUUGUGAAAUGUUGGGUUAAGUCCCGCAACGAGCGCAACCCUUAUCCUUUGUUGCCAGCGAUUCGGUCGGGAACUCAAAGGAGACUGCCGGUGAUAAACCGGAGGAAGGUGGGGAUGACGUCAAGUCAUCAUGGCCCUUACGAGUAGGGCUACACACGUGCUACAAUGGCGUAUACAAAGAGAAGCGAACUCGCGAGAGCAAGCGGACCUCAUAAAGUACGUCGUAGUCCGGAUUGGAGUCUGCAACUCGACUCCAUGAAGUCGGAAUCGCUAGUAAUCGUAGAUCAGAAUGCUACGGUGAAUACGUUCCCG
rnacentral:rRNA from 1 species